rnacentral:lncRNA from 1 species
CCCGGAUGAUCAAAAUAAAGUUGUGGAGAAUAUGAAGAAUGAAACAGAGACACAUGAGAACAACAAGAACAGGACUGGAGGCAAGGCUAAACGUAAGUCCAGUGGCAGUGCCAAGAAGACUUCCGUGGAGGAGGACAGCAGCAUUGAGUCUUCUCAGACACCCGGGUGUGGUUUCCGGGAAAGGGGAUCUAUCAUUGAGCAGCUGGAGAAGGA